rnacentral:rRNA from 1 species
CCCUUAGAUGUUCUGGGCCGCACGCGCGCUACACUGUUCGACGCAGCGAGUCUUAACCUUGACCGAAAGGUUUGGGUAAUCUUCAGCAAAGUCGAACGUGAUGGGGAUCGAUCAUUGCAAUUAUUGAUCGUGAACGAGGAAUUCCUAGUAAGUGCAAGUCAUCAGCUUGCGCUGAUUACGUCCCUGCCCUUUGUACACACCGCCCGUCGCUACUACCGAUUGAAUGGUUUAGUGAGAUCUCUGGAUUGACGCUGGCUAGGGGGCGACCCUUGGCCAGACUGUUAGAAACUGCUCAAACUUGAUCAUUUAGAGGAAGUAAAAGUCGUAACA